rnacentral:lncRNA from 1 species
GUAACAACAAAACGACCGUACCAUCUAGAACGUAACUUACCUGGGAAUAGCGGGAGGCGUGAAUUGAAGAGCAAGACUUUCUGCCCUAUUUCAAAAGUCUUCCUUUGAAUGGCUUUGUCAUGAAAUGCCUUCGUCUUUUCCUUGUAAAUCCGUGCACUCUCAUAAGCAUCAUUCCUCAUCUCAUCCAAUUCAAUCAAUUGGAGUCGCCUUGCAUCUCCCGCCUCUUUCAUAUCGAAAUUGAAUUUCUUGAUUGCCCAAAAUGCUCGAUGUUCAAGUUCAACCGGAAGGUGACAUGCUUUACCAUAAACCAAACGAAAAGGAGACAUAUCAAUGGGGAUUUUGUGAGCUGUUCUAUAUGCCCAUAAUGCUUCAUUAAGUCUCAAGCUCCAAUCCUUUCUCGUAGGGCUCACGGUUUUCUCCAAGAUUUGCUUGAUUUCUCGGUUACUAAUCUCCACUUGUCCACUUGUUUGGGGAUGAUAAGGUAUCGAGACCCUAUGUGUAAUUCCAUAUCGCUUUAAAAGUGCCUCAAAUGACCUAUUGCAAAAGUGAGUGCCUCCAUCGAUGAUAAUGGCUCUUGGUGUUCCAAACCUAGAAAAGAUGUUGUCCUUCAUAAAGCUCAAAACAACUUUUGAAUCAUUAGUCCGGGUAGGAAUUGCUUCCACCCAUUUAGAGACAUACUCAACAGCAAGGAGAAUGUAAAUAAAGCCAUAAGAGGAAGGGAAUGGUCCCAUAAAAUCAAUGCCCCACACAUCAAAUAUUUCAACAAUAAGGAUAGGCGUUAAUGGCAUUUGAUUCCUAGAGCUAAUGUUACCGGUUCUUUGACAGCUAUCACAUGUGGAACAAUAAGUAUAUGCAUCUAUGAACACAGAUUGAACUUCAAGAUGUUAGCAUUCAUCUCCAAUUGGCUUUGUGCUAAAAUUCCUCCGAAAAGUUGAUUUUCCCUUAAAAACCUUCUAAGAGCGCAGAAAGCUGAAAAUCAUAAAAGUAAAGUAAUAAGUCCAUUUUAAAUCUAAUUCUCCUACAAAACCUAAGUAAAAAGAGUACAUAAAUGAGUAUGUUUAUGGACUUAUCGCACCACCACGACCACAUCCUCCUCCUCCGCCACAACUACAGCCACAACCUCCACCACCACCAAGCCGCCACCGCCACCGCCACCACCACCACCUCCUCCUCAACAUCCACCUUGGGAUUGUGUUAGCAUUAUGGGCCUGCCACAUAGUGCAAGCCUGCAAGGAUCAAAGUUUAGGCUUGGGCCUUUACAUGGUGCUGAAAUUUUCUUGGGGUUUCUGUGAAGAGGUAGGCUAAGCCCAAAAUAUAAGAAAACCUAAAAAAUGGAGGUUGCCUUGCCACCUUCUAGAAGGUCAGGGCCUUGUAGAAUAUUGACGAGAGUUGGGUUACCAAUACCAUUGGCUCUGCACAAUGUCCUUUGUUCCCUUCCUCAAGGCAAGGAUGUUAUGUUCUUUGCAUGAAGAAGGCAUCCACUUGAAUAAAGGGGGGGGGGGAGGAUAAGCAUCGUUUUAGUUGUCAAUUUUCAUAAGAGUAAUGGCUUGAAGUGUUAUUUUAUUUUUGUAUAUAUUUUGAUUUUAAAAUUUUAAUUAAUUUAAACGAUUAAGAAUUUUUAAUUAAGUUUUAGUUCCAUGCGGUAUCCACCUCACCCACUCAAUUAGUUUAAUGUGUAUAAAAUAACAAAAACACGUCUGUCACGUCAUCAGAUUUAACAUAGUUUAGAUGGUGUUAACAGUAUGGACAAAGUGGGUCAUCAAACUUCGAUCAAGGGAUGAAAGUGGGCCAUUUUAACUUUAAGAAGGUAAAGUGAGAUUUGACCGAAGAUUCAAGGAGCACUACAGUAAAUAAGCCUUUAUAGAAUACCGAGUACAUAUACAAACAAGGGAGACAAGAUCCCUAAUGCAAGGCGGGAGACAAGCCUCCCUAAUGCCAAGGCAGUCCACAAUUCUAAGUACCUAGGAAACACAAUCGAGGUACAUGGGAAACACAAAUCACAGUCUAUCACAAAUAUAUGUCACGGUCUAUCAUUAUUCUCUUCUCCAAUUCUUGCAUAAAAUCUAACAAUAUAGACUCCAUUAAAUUUCACAAAAUGACUUGGGCACAGCUCUAAGAGGGUGAGCCAUUUGCAAGCUGAGGCCAAACUUCUCUUCCAUGUUCAGGGUCUCUGGUAAAACCCCAUCUUCAAGCUUCCAUUCAAAAGAGUUAAUGAGUGAACCCAACAUCAAGGGCAGAAUUCGCAUUGCCCAUGGCAAGCCAGGACAUAUUCUCCUCCCAGCACCAAAUGGAAUAAGCUCAAAGUUUUUCCCGGUAACAUCAAUUUGGUCAUCCAAUCCCAAGAACCUCUCAGGCACAAAUGAGCUUGGGUUGUCCCAAAUGCUGGGGUCUCUGCCGAUGGCCCAUGCAUUCACAAACACUUGUGCACCCUUGGGUACAAUAUAGCCGCAAAUUUCAACGUCUGAAUCGGCUUUUCGAGGGAGAAGCAAUGGAGUUGCUGGGUGCAACCGAAAGGUCUCCUUGAUUAUUGCUUGGAAGUAAGGAAGCCGAGCAAUGUCUCCAUCCUCUACUGGUUUUCCUUUGCCAAUGAUUUUCUCUAGCUCUUGUUGAGCUUUUGACAGCUUUUCAGGAUUGCGUAGCAGCUCAGCCAUUGCCCAUUCCAACGUGGCUGAGGUUGUAUCUAUGCCCGCAGUAAAUAGAAUCUAUUCACAUAAUAAGUCACAAAAAUUAAUGGCAUGAUAAAUUGUAAUGACCAAGCAAUUAAAAACAAAACAAAAACUAACAAAAAACUAACCAGAAGCAGAUGUUGAAGUUUGGUCAUGUCCAUGUCCUCACUGUUCACUCCACUGAUGUUCAAAAGAGUAUCCAACAUAUCGUUGGUUGUGACAUAAUCAUGGGCUUUUCUAGAUUCCAAUCUUUGGCUAAUGAUGCAGUCAAAGACCUGUUCUAUCUUCCGGACAUGUUUGAUCAUGCGCCGCCUAAUUCCCUGGGGGUCAAUUUUCCUAAGAACAGGGAAAAAGUCCGCCCAGUUUGGCUUCCCUGCCUCUUCCAUCGAACCCCACACAGUCUCCUUGAACUCUCUGGCCAUCUCGCUGCUUGCGUCAGCCAAAUCCACAGAGAAGAUAGUACGCGAAAGCAGAUUGAGCGUCGUUUUGAAAGCGGCCCUUCCAAUAUCUACCGCCUCACCUUUGACCAAGCUUUCAUUGACAUCAGAUAUGAGCUCUUCCACUUUCAUGCGGCGGGUGGGUUGGUUGGCGUCAAGAAUUUUGGGGGCGAACAAGUGAGAGUUGCAUAUUUUUCGAAGGCUUCUCCAUUUGGAUGAAGUUGGUAUCCAGGGCAGGCUGUCUCCGCGAAGGUCACUGGCUUGGAUUGCAUCUGGCACGGUUCGGUUGGACAAGAAUCGGUCAUGUGUUUGGAGGACUUGUUUGGCUGUGUUUGACGAAGAAACAACCACCGUUGUUACUUGGCCGAGUUGCAGAGUUAUAAUGGGGCCAUAGAUUUGAGAAAGCUUAGUGAAAUCGAGAUGGGGUUUGUUUCCAAGCUCUAGGAGAUUGCCAAUGAAAGGAAGUGGCUUUGGUCCAGGUGGAAGAAGAUGCCUUUUGGGGUUGGCUUUGCUUCUGAGGGCUUGAAUUGAGAACAAGAACACAAAGAAAAGACUGGUUAGGAGGACCAUACAAAAACUCAAGAAAUCCAUUCUCUCUCUCUCUCUCUCUCUCUCUCUCUCUCUGCUGCACACCAAGUGCUCGACUAAAUGACUGAAGAAGAAGAAGGUUGUGGCAGUUCUUUCUUUUUUAAAACAACCUGGGCAAUGACUGAAGAAGAAGAAGGUUGCGCGAACUGAAGAAGAAGAAGGUUGUGGCAGUUCUUUCUUUUUUAAAACAACCUGGGCAAUGACUGAAGAAGAAGAAGGUUGUGCGAACUGAAGAAGAAGAAGGCUGUGGCAGUUCUCUCUUUUUUAAAACAACCUAGGCAAAACGACGUCGUUUUGUCCCAGGGAAUUUUUUUUUAAAUGACCUGGCCAAAACGACGUCGUUUUGGGCCAGGCCAGGUCUGAAUUUUUUUUCAAUUGAUUACGUCCUUAAUUUUUGCAAUUGGUGUCCAUCCCCUAGAAACUUCUUGGUGACGGGGUCAUUUGUUCUUACUGCUGCUAAGCAUAAAUAUUUGACUUUGUCGAGAGUUUCUGUAUGUUAGUUGGUAAGAACUACAUGACAUACUUUCCUUAUUUCUAAUGAAACUAUUUUUUUCAGGUGUUGAUAUGCUAAAGAAGGCGGUAGGAAAAGACUGUACAUCUUUAUUCAGUAUCCUUUCUAAAAUUUACUUGGUUAUGCUGAUUUCCUGAGUAUGUUUGGCCUAGUUACUUCUUGCUGGACCUUUGGUUUUAUUGUUUUGUUCUUCAGUCAGACCCCUCCGUGAGAACAAGAGAAUAGAUUUGCUCACAAGCGUUAAUUGGUGGUGAGCAAAUCGUUCUCUGAGAACAACUGCCCAUAAAACUUGUUACUACUAGUGGAAGAGUCGAAUUAGGCAGAUUUUUUCUUUUCUUAUGCACCAAAGAAAUUUUAAAUACUAAUAUCCAAAACUCAGUGAUACUCUUAAGGUUGUAUUUGUUUCUUGGAAUCAAGGCUGGGAAAUGGAUUUAGUCCUCCCUAAGAAUGCCUUUGUUAAGUGCAAAUUACUUCGGGUUUGGCCUUUCCAUGGACAACCCACGAAGUUAAGGUUUUGCAUUUCUAAGGGAAGUGGUGUAUUUCCUAAAGCCAUUCCCUGGUUUUGACUUUGAACUUGGAUCCAAUCCUUGGCAAUCUUUGGUUUCUUAUAUAAGUCGUUUAUGAAGUUCCCCCAACUUUGUUUAGGGUUCAAUAAUAAAACUUCAAAAUACCUUAUAACCUUUGGAAAUAAAUGACUUAUGCUAGAAACCAAGGAUUACCAAGACAAAGAGAAGAUCUAAAUCCACUUGUAAUUAUAAUGACGACCAUACCAUAUAUUUAUGCUUUCAAAAACUGAAACUCUGCUAGUAUCCUGAUUACCUUUGGAAUGUUGGAUUCUGUUGGUUUCUAAUCACAUCAUUCCAAGGAAUGAGUUUAGGAUUCCUAAAAUCCGAUUCAGCGAAACAACACAACCAAACGGUUUUCCUAAGCCUGGCCGAACCUUAAGCGAAUCUAGUGCCUACAAAUCAGCAAUGUGUUUUGGACCAUAUUCCUUUUUACUUACUCUAUUGUAAAUUGCUAUUAACUAUUGCAAUCCUUAUUACACUACUCUAGAUAAAUACCAUGCUUGGGUGAAUGCUGAAUUUUUACUUGAGAAGUGUCUCGUUGGUACUCUAGACGAUGGCGAAGGGCAACAUUUCAAUCAUUAGAAAUUUUAGGCCUGUUCAUCAUACAGGCAGAUUGGUACAGCAAUUUAUUUUUCAAUUCAAAUUUUAUCAAGCGAACAUCAUAUUAUCAUACCAGAAAAUAAUACAUUCUUACGUUAGAACAAGACUUUCUCAUUCAUUGUUGUACCAUGUUGUCAAAUUCAGAUUCUGUUGUAUAUUAUUAUUUUCAUAAUAAGCAUAUCAGAAAUGUUCUUUCAUGCUGUCGGGCUCUAUGGUUUGCUGUGCUAUGAAAUAAUCAAAAUAGUAAUUUACGUGGUUGAAACAAAGCUCUUGAUUUUAAAUGCCAAGUAGCAGGUUUGGCACAGCAUAUCACUGAUUCAAUUAUCUCCCCAUAAUCUAACUUAGAAAAUUUCGACAUGUAUUUUUUAUGAUCACAGCGUGCUCGUCAGUUCAGCUGCUAAACUAGUAAGGCAACGGGUUCUUAACAAGCCGUGGAAUAUGAUUUUUCACAUCAUCAAACAUCCCAAAAACCCUUGAUAUAUCUGAAUGCGAUCAAGAGGAACGCUUCUUAUUUUAGCAUAAGCUGCCAAAGAAAAUGACCUGACUCAAUUCUUCACUUCAUAUAUUCCUGAAAUUCAGUUCCUCACGCGGACAAAUUUUCUUAAAUUUGAAAAGUAUAUAGCCCUCUCUAGUCGAAAAUAGGUAAAACAUCUACCUUUAUCAACGGACCCGUAAUAGCUCCUAAAAAUCUCGGAAUGCGAUGAAAUUGGAACGAAAUUGAUCUGGAUAUGUAAUUAGAAAAAUCUGGAAAUCCGACUUUUAGCGACGAAAAAUCUGAUGAACACCGCUACUAAAACCUCUUUUAUGACGAAAAAUCCGAUGAACACCGUCGCUAAAAACUCUUUGGUGACGAAAAAUCUUCAAAUUCUGGGCAAAACAGCAGCUGCUUUUUUCUUAAUGUUUUAGGUCCUUUUUUGAGCUUCAAAUCGUCCUAAAACAUAAUGUAGGCCACCGGGGACCCCCAAACCUGGUCCAAAUCAUCAGAAUAAUCAUUCUAAACAUGUUGGUGGCAUCAGAUUGACCUGAAAAACAGCAAAAAAGAAAUUAGGCAGAAAUUCUAGUUUUGACCAAAAUAAGAACAUAAAAGCUAUUUUUCUAUUUUCUGGUAUCUAAACUCAGCCAAUGACCAAAAAAACUUAUGUAACACAUUUGAAACAUGCUGCAAACGUCCUAGGGCUAGAAAAAUGCGAAAUUUUUUCUUUGGAACACAAAAUCCAUUGUUUGAUGAUGCAAAACUGAACAAAAACAAAAAUAUGAAAAUUUACGAGAAAUCACACAUAAACUAAAACAAAACCGAAAACAAUAGUUAAGAAUGGUUGGGUUGCCUCCCAAGAAACGCUAAGUUUAAAGUCUUCAGCUAGACGCGGUUCUUUAGAUGAUUAACCAAUAGAUGGGGGUGGUGCAUCCACGUGCAUGCUCUCUUUUCCAAGCUCAAAAGAUUCAUAGUAUGGCUUCAAGCGAUGUCUGUUCACUUUGAAUAUGUUUCCCGUCUUGUCAUUUUGAAUCUCAACUGCACCAUGAGGGAGAACAUUAGUAACAACAAAACGACCGUACCAUCUAGAACGUAACUUACCUGGGAAUAGCGGGAGGCGUGAAUUGAAGAGCAAGACUUUCUGCCCUAUUUCAAAAGUCUUCCUUUGAAUGGCUUUGUCAUGAAAUGCCUUCGUCUUUUCCUUGUAAAUCCGUGCACUCUCAUAAGCAUCAUUCCUCAUCUCAUCCAAUUCAAUCAAUUGGAGUCGCCUUGCAUCUCCCGCCUCUUUCAUAUCGAAAUUGAAUUUCUUGAUUGCCCAAAUGCUCGAUGUUCAAGUUCAACCGGAAGGUGACAUGCUUUACCAUAAACCAAACGAAAAGGAGACAUAUCAAUGGGGAUUUUGUGAGCUGUUCUAUAUGCCCAUAAUGCUUCAUUAAGUCUCAAGCUCCAAUCCUUUCUCGUAGGGCUCACGGUUUUCUCCAAGAUUUGCUUGAUUUCUCGGUUACUAAUCUCCACUUGUCCACUUGUUUGGGGAUGAUAAGGUAUCGAGACCCUAUGUGUAAUUCCAUAUCGCUUUAAAAGUGCCUCAAAUGACCUAUUGCAAAAGUGAGUGCCUCCAUCGAUGAUAAUGGCUCUUGGUGUUCCAAACCUAGAAAAGAUGUUGUCCUUCAUAAAGCUCAAACCUAGAAAAGAUGUUGCCCUAAACCCUAAACCCUUGCCGGCAAAUGCUUCAACCAUCAUCGAACCGUGGCAGCCGUUCCUUGCAUCGCCAACGACGAAUGAGAGAUUGUAGAUCUUGUUGGGAACAGUUCUAAGAACCUGGGCUAUGGCACUUUCUCUACCUGCAACAAGCUCAACGGCGCCGUUUCCAAACGGGAUAUUGAAGUGUUGGGAGUCGAUGAACUUUACGGCUUUGAGGGACUUGAUGAUCGAGCCAUGAAGUGGGGAUGUCAC